rnacentral:rRNA from 1 species
CAGUCGUGCCGGCGUUGGAUUCAGCUUGCUUCGCGGAGCAGGCGUAUUUCCAUGCAUGGCAGGUCAGCGUCAGUUUUGUCGCGGCGUGAAAAGGCUCGGGUAAGAUAGUCUCGUCUUCGGGGAGUGUUAGUAGACCUGGGCAGAUGCGCUCGCGCGGGACUGAGGAUUGCAGCGGACACCCCCUCGGGGGCGCGGCGACCGAACCCUG